rnacentral:rRNA from 1 species
AGAUUGAACGCUGGCGGCGUGCCUAACACAUGCAAGUCGAGCGGUAACAGGUGUAGCAAUACAUGCUGACGAGCGGCGAACGGGUGAGUAAUGCUUUGGAAUCUUCCCAGUAGUGGGGAAUAACCAGUCGAAAGAUUGGCUAAUACCGCAUACGUCUGUAAAGGGAAAGCGGGGGCUCGUAAGACCUCGCGCUAUUGGAUGAGCCAAAGUCGGAUUAGCUAGUUGGUGGGGUAAUGGCCUACCAAGGCGACAAUCCGUAGCUGGUCUGAGAGGACGACCAGCCACACCGGAACUGAGACACGGUCCGGACUCCUACGGGAGGCAGCAGUGGGGAAUAUUGGACAAUGGGGGAAACCCUGAUCCAGCGACGCCGCGUGUGUGAAGAAGGCCUGCGGGUUGUAAAGCACUUUUAGUGGGGACAAAAGCUACGGAUUAAUACUCUGUGGUCUUGAUUUAACCCAAGAAAAAGCACCGGCUAACUCUGUGUCAGCAGCCGCGGUAA